ensembl:lncRNA
GUUGUAUUUGUAAUAGAAAUUUUGAAGGCAAAAUAAAAUAUCCUGUCUUCCAGAUGGUAAAUAUCUUAUUUUAAAAGUUUAUUGCAGUUAUCUUUUUGACCGUGCCCAUCUGGAGAAGGGAAAUUUUACACUUUCUCAUGGUGCUCCUUAAGUAUCUGUGGAGGUUAAAGGAUAUAAGGUAAAAUAUUUCCACUCCUGGUUUGGUGGUAACUGAUUAGUGGUUACCUACCAGCUAUUAUGCAAAGUCAGAUUAGUUCAGAACCUUUUUGAGAGCCUUUUGGAAGAAGCAGUUUUAUUCUGAGUAGGGCAGACUCCUUUUUGUUGAUAGUUUCUAUAGUUGCUCCCUUCAGCAUUCUCAUUUUACUGGCAUUUUAUUUAACGAUAGCAAAUUGGGAAAAUGGUGAAUUUUAGGUCACUGAGGUAAAUGAAUAUAUGAAAGCAGUUGCCUCUAAAGUCAGUUAACAACUCUUUUGUACAUGGGGCUUGGCUAAGACUAGCAGAUGGUAGCAUGAAGAAAUGCUUUUUUUCUUUCUAAAGGUAGAGCCUGUCUUGUUGCAGAUAGCUAUCUGUAAAUAAUUGCCUAAAUCUUCCUUUGCUAGAUUGUGGAAAAUAUGAGAAUCUUUUGAGCAAGCCUUUCCAUUUUUUUUCUGAUGACUAGAUAAUUCUUUUCUCCUAAGAUAUAUCAGGAAGGAUGUGUCAAGUGAGUGGCCUUAUUCAUGGCAGCAUCCUUGGGCCCAGUCUGGUCCCUAGCACUUGUCCCAGUGCUGCUGGGUUGUUUAUCUUGUUUAUCUGGUAUCACUGUGGAAUGGAAUUUUCCACAUAAUCCAAACUUGCCUUAUUUAAGCAGUAACACUUUUUUAUUUUAGCCAUUCUUUUGAUGGAGUUAUUUAAUAUGUAUAUCAGAGAAUAUACUGGAUAUACUGUUUCAUUUUGUGCCUGUCUUUGUAGACUUCAGGGGCUGCUAAGACAGGCAGGACUGUUUUGCCUUUACUGAAUGGUCGCAGACUGCUAUGGUUUUGAAUGGUUAGUUUUUUAAUACACGCAUCCCCCAGCCUUCUCCCUUUCUGACAGCAACCGCUUCCUGUGUACCUCCUCUUAGUAGUUUCUUUUUCCCAUUCUGAUUCAUUUUUCUCACUGCUUGGGCAAGGAAACCAGAUGACCAAACUAACUGAACUUUCUUUAAAACACAAGGACAAACUGGGAUGGGACCCAAGCAGCUUUCCUGUGAAGUCUUGAAAAGGACUUCAGUGCUUUGACUUUUGACGUCGGUGGACGGCUCAGAGUGCUUCCUGAUUCUUGCUGAGUUUCAGGUAGUUGAAGUAGAGAGAAGUGAGUCUGUACUCAUAUUUUCCCCCUUUGAAAGAUUAUGAAAGGUUUUGUUGCUUCCACUCGAAUGCUGCUCACACAAAAACUGGGGUCAUAAGGGUUCCUAAAUUAGCGUCAGUAGCCAGAGCCAAUACCAUUGCCUAGAGGACACCAGCAAAAAAAAAAAAAAAAAAACCCAACAGCAACAACAAACGGAAACAAACCCUGGAAAAUGAGAGGGUCGUUUUUGUUUUGUUUUGUUUUGGUGUCCCUUUUGAGCCCUAUCUCCUGGCCUUCCUCCUCUGCAGAUAUUUUUGACCUCUUGGUGCCUUUAUGAGAAUUGAGGGUCUGAUAUUUUGUCCCAAGGAGUAGCUAAAGUAAUUGCUGAUGUUUUCAGGGAUUUUAACAUCAGACUUGAAUGAACUUUCUUCCCUGUUUUUUUUUUUUAAACGUAGGAAGGACUGAGGAGAAAACUCUGGUGAAGACAAUCAUUUCUCUCUAUUGGUAUGGAUAGUUUUCACAGUUUAGUUAAGAUGCUUCUCAAUAGGUCCCAGAGUCAGUGUUGUUGUUCUGCCUGAAACUAGUGGCUCUGGGCUGGGGCCAGACAGUCGUGUGCUCUAGUUUGCGCUCUGCCACAAAUUGGAUGUAUGACCUUGGGCAAGUCGUUUACCUUCUCUGGGCCUCAGUUGCCUCAUCUGUAAAAUGAGGGAGUUGGACUGGAUGAGUUCUUCCAGCUCUGAAAUUUAAGUGACCUUGCCUACCUUGCAGCAGCUUUUGAUUUCUUUCUUACCUUUGCUCUGCUGUUUGAGGGGGCUUUUUACUUAUUUCCACAUUAUUCACAUGAGACUAGGCUUGAUAUUUUAUUACUAUUCUCCUAUGGACAAAAAGUUACAUAAUAUGUCCUUAAGACUUAAGUUCAACCAAAGGCCUAGCACCACCUUGGGAGCUGCAAUAAAUAGUUAAAAAAAAAAAAAUUACUGCGAGGGGGGAAAAGCCUUCAUUUUGUUUUCUCAUCAUCUUUAUUCAAGGUUUAUUAAGGCCUUUUUUUGAGUCAUGACAUUCUCCUUUUGGGUUGGUAUGUGUGUGACACCAUCCUCUUAAGUGCUGUGUGCUAGUAAUUUUUUUUCAACUAAAAUGGAUUGAAAACUUACUGUAAAUGCCUGAUGAUAUUAGAGGUCAUUACUUUGCAUCUUUGGUUUCUUAACUCUUCUAUGCUCAAAACAGGGAAAUUCCUCUGAACUGCAUCAACUGAAAUGGUUUCUCCGACUCAAGAAAACAAUACAAGUGGAUGAUUAUUCACUUUAUUCUUGGCUCUUUUUAGGUCCAUGUUGAUUUGAAGACUUUUGGCUGGAGCAUUCCUUUCAGAGUUCUCUUCCAGCUGAUCCUUGGAUGAUCCUGGUAGAGGCCAGCUCUGUGUUAGCUGGAGAGGAAGGGAUGAAACCAGCUGUUCUUGCUAUGGCUGCUUGUCACUGAUAGAAGGACUCAUGGACUUGGAUUGGUUAAAAGGCUAAAAUGGAGUUGGCAAACUUCCUCCAAGUAUUGGGUUCUGUCCCAUGCCUUGGACAUGUGAUUUACAGGAAAAGUGUGAAUACUUAUAGAUGAUGAAAACCUGGUAGGCUGCAGAGCCAUUUGGAGGAGGUGACUGGGGGUUGGGGACAGAUUUGUGGUGGUAUUUCCCAACUCUGUCUCCUCCACUGAAGUCAGAGGAAUGCAGCUAUGCCAAAACCCAGAAAAGAGCCACACUUACCUUCUGCUUUUGGGAAAACUGGUCAGCUCCAGCUCCGGUAGUUCCUCUGUGGCUUUCUGUAUACUUUUGCCUGGUUGAAGUCUGUGGCUAAAAAAUAGUUGAACCUUUCCUAAGAACUCUGUAACAAAGUAUGUUUUUGAUUAAAAGAGAAAGCCAAUUAAAUCAUUAUGUGCUCAUUCUUUUUCUUAAGCUUGUGGAUGUUUUGGGUCUAGAAAGAAUUCCUAAUCACUUAGAGAAUUCUCAGACUUGAGGACAGCAUUUUCC